rnacentral:tRNA from 1 species
GGUGGGUUAGCUCAGUGGUUAAAGCUUAGGCCUUGUGACCGGAAGGUCCCGUGUUCGAAUCGCACCGGAGGCAGCA